ACUCUACUGUUAUGAUUUUUGCAACUUGGUACCAAAAUUUUCCUGUGUUUCGACAAUAUGUUACAGUUGCUCAUCUUUCUGAAAGAUUGGGGUUAAUAAAAGUCAGUAGUAGUAGCAGCGCACAAUUAUUACAAAACUUAGUAACGAAUGACUUGCGAUCUUUUUCUAAAAGGAAGACCGUCAUCUUUUCUACUUUUCUUAAUGGCCAGGGUAGGAUCUUGUUUGAUACACUUAUCCAUGUGCCUUUAAGAACUUUUGCUGUAGCUGAAGAAAAUUUAUUCGCUUUGAAUCCUUUGAGUUUCAAUGAAUUUUAUUUAGAAUGCCAAAAAGAUCGUAUACAAGAGUUAACUUCCCAUCUUAAUAAAUACAGCUUUAAACACAAAACGAAUAUUGAAGAUUGUUCUUCUCGCAUCCAAGUUUUAUCAAUUUUUAAAAGUUUUAAAGGAAUUCAAAUUGAAAAACUUAUUAAUACAAAAUUUGUAAUAAGCGCUGGUGUUGAUCCUCGCCAUGAAGGGCUGGGAUGCAGACUUUUGGUAGAGCGAGGCAGCGAAAGUGGAUUUUCGGUUGAUUUCAAAUUUGUAAGUUCAAAAGAAUACGAUAAACGAAGUUUCUGCAUGAUAUGCAAAACAAAACUUAAUCGUACACCCUUAAAAAGAUACCUGCUGGGGAUUCCAGAAGGUCCAGAGUUUCCAUCCGGUAAAGCUCUUCCCCUAGAAUUUAACGUUGAACAGUUAAACGGCGUUAGUUUUCAGAAAGGCUGUUACUUGGGGCAAGAGUUGACCGCCCGUUCAAAGUUUGUAUUAGACAUUCGAAAAAGGAUAUUUCCGAUUAUUAUUGAGCCUCCGCUCAGAGCCGAUAUGCUCCCCUUAGAAGAUUCGAUAAUUUAUGAUGAAAAUGUAAAGGUUGGAAAGUUCAUUGCUGGUAUUGAUGAGGCUGGAAUUGCUCUUCUACGUUUAUCUUAAAAACUGUCUUGCGGGACUAAAGCUUGAGCUUUUAUGAAUGACCACCCUAACAGAAUAACAUAUUUAUUAGGUUAAAAUUUCUUAAUUUAUUAAGACUGAAGUCUAAUUCUCCUUACAUUUAUGAACUCUUGCCGUCACUCUCGUUGUACCGCCUGAAUUGUGUCCGUAUUUAUGUCUAAGCAAUUUUACAAGGAAAGCUCUAUCGGCUGACGGAACGAUUUUCUCUGCUACACAAGUAAAAAAAAAGGGAUUCUACUUAUGAUGACAGCCUUUAGACCACAACUUUUCCCAAGCUUUAAAAAAAUAAUCCUAGUCCCUCCCACUUCGAUACGUAUAACAGUUUCUUUAGUUACACCAUUUUCAGUAAUGUAAAACGGUUGUAAAUUUAAUUUUUAACAGCUUGCCUACUAUUAUUUAUGUGAUAGUAUAGAAUUAAGAUUAUAAUUCCCAUAUUUGAUAUGGUGUGUAAAGCUGGCGAUGUUUGGGGACAAAAAAUAACUUAUGAAUAUCUUGUUAUAACAUGAUGAGUUGAGUCCACACUGCCGUUGCCCGCUAUAUGAUAAACUUUAUUUGAACUUUUAAGUCUUCAAUUAAGUUAGCUUUUAUUAUUGCCCUUUAUGCUUCAGAGAGUUACAAUAAGGCUCCACGCAAAUAUACAUAUGCUAAGUCUACUGCGUUAAGUAUGCGAGGACGAGGUGGAGCUGUGUAU